rnacentral:misc_RNA from 1 species
GUUGGUGAACCAGCGGAGGGAUCAUUACUGAGUUCUACAAAAACUCCCAACCCUUUGUGAACCUUACCGUCGUUGCCUCGGCGCCGAGCGGCGGCUACCCGGGAGCUACCCUGUAGACCACCUACCCUGUAGGUGCCUACCCUGUAGCUACCCUGUAGUUGCACUUUACGCUCCGCCGGUGGACUACCCAACUCUGUUUUUAAUGGUGUAUCUCUGAAAACAAAAACAAAAUAAGUUAAAACUUUCAACA